GGCCCAGACUCCUACGGGAGGCAGCAGUGGGGGAUAUUGCACAAUGGGGGGAACCCUGAUGCAGCGACGCCGCGUGGGUGAAGAAGCGCCUCGGCGCGUAAAGCCCUGUCAGCAGGGAAGAAAAUGACGGUACCUGAAGAAGAAGCCCCGGCUAACUCCGUGCCAGCAGCCGCGGUAAUACGGAGGAUGCGAGCGUUAUCCGGAUUUAUUGGGUUUAAAGGGUGCGUAGGCGGUCCGGAAAGUCAGCGGUAAACGCCCGGGGCCCACCCCGGGCGAGCCGUUGAAACUGUCGGACUAGAGACGGCGAGAAGUACGCGGAAUGCGCGGUGUAGCGGUGAAAUGCAUAGAUAUCGCGCAGAACUCCGAUUGCGAAGGCAGCAUACCGGCGCCCGACUGACGCUGAGGCACGAAAGCGUGGGGAUCGAACAGGAUUAGAUACCCCAGUA
rnacentral:rRNA from 1 species